CGUUGAAACACUGGUUCUUAUACAAUCACCAAAGUUAAGCAAUGUUGAGCCUGGUCAGUACCUAAAUUGGUGACCACUUGAGAAUAUCAGGUGCCAU